CAUCCGAUACGGGCUAGCUUGAGUUUGGUAGGGGAGACUGGAAUUCCUGGUGUAGCGGUGGAAUGCGCAGAUAUCAGGAGGAACACCAAUGGCGAAGGCAGGUCUCUGGGCCAAUACUGACACUGAGGAGCGAAAGUGUGGGGAGCGAACAGGAUUAGAUACCCUGGUAGUCCACACAGUAAACGAUGGGCACUAGUUGUGGGAACCUUCCACGGUUUCUGCGACGCAGCUAACGCAUUAAGUGCCCCGCCUGGGGAGUACGAUCGCAAGAUUAAAACUCAAAGGAAUUGACGGGGCCCCGGCACAAGCAGCGGAGCAUGCGGCUUAAUUCGACGCAACGCGAAGAACCUUACCAAGGCUUGACAUAUACAGGAAUAUGGCAGAGAUGUCAUAGCCGCAAGGUCUGUAUACAGGUGGUGCAUGGUUGUCGUCAGCUCGUGUCGUGAGAUGUUGGGUUAAGUCCCGCAACGAGCGCAACCCUCGUUCUGUGUUGCCAGCAUUUAGUUGGGGACUCACAGGAGACUGCCGGGGUCAACUCGGAGGAAGGUGGGGAUGACGUCAAAUCAUCAUGCCCCUUAUGUCUUGGGCUGCACGCAUGCUACAAUGGCUGGUACAAAGGGCUGCAAUACUGCAAAGUGGAGCGAAUCCCAAA
rnacentral:rRNA from 1 species